UCUCCGAUGGUGAACCAGCGGAGGGAUCAUUACCGAGUUUACAACUCCCAAACCCCUGUGAACUUACCGCUCGUUGCCUCGGCGGAGCCCGCCCCGGCAGCCAGCCAGAGAACCCCCAUACUCUUGUCUCAUACAGUUUCUUCUGAGUAAAACGACUAAAUAAAACAAAACUUUAAACAACGGAUCUCUUGGUUCUG
rnacentral:misc_RNA from 1 species